UACGUAGGGUGCGAGCGUUGUCCGGAAUUAUUGGGCGUAAAGAGCUUGUAGGCGGUUUGUCGCGUCGGGAGUGAAAACCCAGGGCUUAACCCUGGGCUGGCUUCCGAUACGGGCAGACUAGAGGUAUGCAGGGGAGAACGGAAUUCCUGGUGUAGCGGUGAAAUGCGGCAGAUAUCAGGAGGAACACCGGUGGCGAAGGCGGUUCUCUGGGCAUUACCUGACGCUGAGGAGCGAAAGUGUGGGGAGCGAACAGG
rnacentral:rRNA from 1 species